GGUAAGAAUAUCCAAAAUGAUCAUCAAAAAGAGAACUUCACACGUGUAAAAGUCAUAAUUUGAGCUGGUAUAUGAGAAAAAGGAUGAAGUGUUUACUGUGUGUGCUUUCUCAAACUCUCUAUCACUGGAGCCCCAAUUGUGAGGUUUGGCACGAAAUGACUUACCAUAAUAUCCAUAUGCAGCCAAUCCGCGCCGCAUCGAAUCAUCCGUUCCGCCUCCGACGCCAGAUUUGCAAAGUCCGACGACAGCAUAGAUGGCGCGAUUUUUGGCUUCACCAUUAUCGUUGAUUUUUUAAAACUUUUACCCAACUUCGCCGCAGCUUAAUCAACUAAA